UUUGGACAAAGAGAGAGAGAGAGAGAGAGAGAGGGAGAGAGAGAGAGAGAAAGAGAAGGUAAGUUUUACACAAAAGGAGGCUUCUCUCAGACGAAACGAAUAAAAAGAAGCAAAAAAAGCUGAGAAGAAUCCAUAAAAGGUGACAAAAGCAAGAAGGAGAAGCAAACAUGUAUCCUUAUCUUGUCUUCUGAUUCACACACUAUUCUUCUUCUUCAUCAUCAUUAAAGAAAAGAAUGGAGGGUACUUAUCAGUAUGCUGCAACAAUGAUGGAGAUCUCAAGAAGAACAUUUUCGUUAGAGAAGAAGAAUAAUUAGUUUCAUUACUCUUUCAAAUGUCGUUGAUCAGAUUCAUUUUUUUCUUUAUUUCUUUAAUUUAAUCCUCUUAUUAAACCCCCCAAAAAAAAAAAAAAAACUUUGUGUUGACGGUUUGGGAAGUAGUGAUAUUGGCGGAAAUGGCUCAAUCUCCUUGUCACAUUAUAUCACUUUCUCUGUUUUUCUUCUCAUAAAUUUUACAUUUUAGAAGUAUGAUCUCAAAUAUACUUCAUUCA